rnacentral:sRNA from 1 species
CAUAGGCCUGCUGGGGAGAGAUGUAGUGCACGUGGCUGUCGAUGCCGCCCGCGGUGGCGAUGAGGUGCUCGCCGGCCAGGAUCUCGGUGCCCGUCCCGACGACCAGCCGGGGGUCGACGCCGCUCUGCGUGUGCGGGUUGCCGGACUUGCCGAUGCCCGCGAUCUUUCCGUCGCGGAUGCCGAUGUCGCCCUUCACGACGCCCAGGAUCGGAUCCAGGAUGAUCGCGUUGGUGAUCACCAGAUCCAGCACCAUCUGGUCGUUGGUGGCCUGCGGGUCCGCGGCCAUG